GAAUGAUCGCUCCCACAAUCCCCCGCGCAGCUCCUCCCGGGUUCAGACAGGGUGUUCACAUUUGCCUCAUUCUGUUAUAUGUUGGCCCUUCUGCUCAUCGCGGCCCUAAUCUUCUGGCUCAUUAUUGUAUUUGAUUAAUUGAAAACAGACUACAAGAACCCUAUAGACCAAUGUAACAUGCUUAACCCUCUCAUGCUCCCUGAAUACCUAAUUCAUGCGUUUUUCUUGCAUUAUGUUUCUAUGUGUGGCAGAAUGGCUUACACUGACUUUAAACAUGCCUCUACUGGCUUACCAUACUUGGAGGUACAUGAGCAGGCCCGUUAUGAGUGGACCCUGCCUGUAUGACCCCACAACGAUCAUGAAUGCGGAUAUUUUAGCAUUUUGUCAAAAAGAGGGAUGGUGUAAGCUAGCGUUUUACCUGCUUUCCUUUUUUUACUACCUCUACGGUAUGAUCUAUGCAUUGGUGAGCUCUUAAGAAGCAACCUCUUAGGAUUCUGGUUCCAGUUAAUUGCAUGCAAACAUUUAGCACUAUAGGCGUCUGGUCCAACACAAACCUAUUCUCAAGGAAGAUUUGGUUUUUGGAUCACAUUUACUCGAAAUGAAAAAAAUAAACACACUG